rnacentral:rRNA from 1 species
GAUGAACGCUGGCGGCGUGCCUAAUACAUGCAAGUCGAGCGAACAGACGAGGAGCUUGCUCCUCUGACGUUAGCGGCGGACGGGUGAGUAACACGUGGAUAACCUACCUAUAAGACUGGGAUAACUUCGGGAAACCGGAGCUAAUACCGGAUAAUAUAUUGAACCGCAUGGUUCAAUAGUGAAAGACGGUUUUGCUGUCACUUAUAGAUGGAUCCGCGCCGCAUUAGCUAGUUGGUAAGGUAACGGCUUACCAAGGCAACGAUGCGUAGCCGACCUGAGAGUGUGAUCGGCCACACUGGAACUUAGACACGGUCCAGACUCCUACGGGAGGCAGCAGUAGGGAAUCUUCCGCAAUGGGCGAAAGCCUGACGGAGCAACGCCGCGUGAGUGAUGACGGUCUUCGGAUCGUAAAACUCUGUUAUCAGGGAAGAACAAAUGUGUAAGUAACUAUGCACGUCUUGACGGUACCUAAUCAGAAAGCCACGGCUAACUACGUG